GAGUUUGAUCAUGGCUCAGAGCGAACGCUGGCGGCAGGCCUAACACAUGCAAGUCGAGCGGCCGUAGCAAUACGGCAGCGGCAGACGGGAGAGUAACACGUGGGAACGCGCCCUUCGGUUCGGAAUAACUCAGGGAAACUUGGGCUAAUACCGGAUACGCCCUUACGGGGAAAGAUUUAUUGCCGAAGGAACGGCCCGCGUCCGAUUAGCUUGUUGGUGAGGUAAUGGCUCACCAAGGCGACGAUCGGUAGCUGGUCUGAGAGGAUGACCAGCCUCACUGGGACUGAGACACGGCCCAGACUCCUACGGGAGGCAGCAGUGGGGAAUAUUGGACAAUGGGCGCAAGCCUGAUCCAGCCAUGCCGCGUGGGUGAUGAAGGCCCUAGGGUUGUAAAGCCCUUUCGGCGGGGAAGAUAAUGACGGUACCCGCAGAA
rnacentral:rRNA from 1 species